rnacentral:rRNA from 1 species
AACGAACGCUGGCGGCAUGCUUAACACAUGCAAGUCGAACGAGACCUUCGGGUCUAGUGGCGCACGGGUGCGUAACGCGUGGGAACCUGCCAUUAGGUUCGGAAUAACCCCCCGAAAGGGGUGCUAAAACCGGAUACUGCUUCCGGACCAAAGAUUUAUCGCCUUUGGGUGGGCCCGCGUUGGAUUAGCUAGUUGGUAGGGUAAAAGCCUACCAAGGCGACGAUCCAUAGCUGGUCUGAGAGGAUGAUCAGCCACACUGGGACUGAGACACGGCCCAGGCUCCUACGGGAGGCAGCAGUGGGGAAUGUGGGACGAUGGGCGAAAGCCUGAUCCAGCAAUGCCGCGUGAGUGAGGAAGGCCUUAGGGUUGGAAAGCUCUUUUACCCGGGAUGAUAAUGACAGUACCGGGAUAAUAAGCUCCGGCUAACUCCGUG